rnacentral:lncRNA from 1 species
UCCAGAUCGUCUUGAUUUUUAUGGAUUCCGCGAGAUGCUCGACCUCCAGCAAAUCAUGGCCUUCCACCUCGCACUAAAAUCAUUGCCAUCGACUAUGCUGUCACCAUUGGAUCUGACCUCUGCAUCGUCUGAGAUUAUGGGUUGGUCUAUGCCGGAGUUUGAUCAGACGGUGAGGACGAGGAGAAGUGGGAGACGGAGAUGGGUUGAGUUAUGUAGUUGGGAAAAGAUUGCAUUUGAGGAUUUGAAAAGCCAUAUGAACCAGACAUUAAGGCCCGAACCAAAAUUUUUUAAGGGGUGGGCUAUUAUUUCUAUAUAGGUAAAGAUCUAAAUAUAAUUCCAUUUAUUUUCUGAUAGGAGAAAACUUGAAGCUAAACGAAGGUCUGUUUGGAUGGGACAUGCUAAUUUUUACUUGGAUGGAUUGGCUAAUUUUUGUAAAAUGAGUUGUAGUGCCUAAAAAUUAGCAUUAAAUUUCUUUUUUC